rnacentral:tRNA from 1 species
GGUGGCUCAGUGGAAGAGUGCUUGCCUUGCAUGCAUGAAGCCCUGGGUUCGAUUCCUUAGCACCA